rnacentral:rRNA from 1 species
GCUCAGGGUGAACGCUGGCGGCGUGCCUAACACAUGCAAGUCGAGCGGUGCAGCUGGAGACUUCGGUUGAAGGCUGCAUAGCGGCGGACGGGUGCGUAACACGUAGGAACGUGCCCCCUGGAGGCGGAUAGCUACGGGAAACUGUAGGUAAUCCGCCAUAGACUCGGGAGAGUAAAGGCCAUAAGGUGCCAGGGGAGCGGCCUGCGGCCCAUCAGGUAGUUGGUAGGGUAAAAGCCUACCAAGCCGACGACGGGUAGCCGAUCUGAGAGGAUGGUCGGCCACAAGGGCACUGAGACACGGGCCCUACUCCUACGGGAGGCAGCAGUGGGGGAUAUUGGACAAUGGGCGAAAGCCUGAUCCAGCGACGCCGCGUGGAGGACGAAGCCCUUCGGGGUGUAAACUCCUUUUGCUAGGGAAAAAGGAUGAUGGUACCUAGCGAAUAAGCCCCGGCUAACUACGUGCCAGCAGCCGCGGUAAUACGUAGGGGGCGAGCGUUACCCGGAAUCACUGGGCGUAAAGGGUGCGUAGGUGGCCCUGUGUGUCUGGCGCUAAAUACCACGGCUCAACUGUGGGAUUGCGCUGGAAACUGCAGGGCUUGGGUGCGGCAGAGGCAGAUGGAACUGCUGGUGUAGGGGUGAAAUCCGUAGAUAUCAGCAGAAACGCCGGUGGAGAAGUCGGUCUGCUGGGCCGUAACCGACGCUGAGGCACGAAAGCUAGGGGAGCGAACCGGAUUAGAUACCCGGGUAGUCCUAGCCGUAAACGAUGCUCACUAGGCGUGGGGUCGGAAGGCUCCGUGCUGAAGCUAACGCGAUAAGUGAGCCGCCUGGGGAGUAUGCCCGCAAGGGUG